CUUCGUCACCCGGACAACUUUUCGUCAGCACAGUUCAAGAGGUUGUGUUUUGGGCAGAGAGCUAAAGGUUGGGAGGAUUUUGAGAGAAAGAUGAGAAGGAGUUACUGGACAGCUCUGAAGAUGAACUGGAAAGUCUGGACUCCGUUCACAUUUAUAAAUAUCAACUUUGUGCCUGUUCAGUUUCGAGUACUGUUUGCCA